rnacentral:rRNA from 1 species
UCGGGAAUUUUGGGCAAUGGGCGAAAGCCUGACCCAGCAACGCCGCGUGAAGGAUGAAGUAUUUCGGUAUGUAAACUUCGAAAGAAUAGGAAGAAUAAAUGACGGUACUAUUUAUAAGGUCCGGCUAACUACGUGCCAGCAGCCGCGGUAAUACGUAGGGACCAAGCGUUGUUCGGAUUUACUGGGCGUAAAGGGCGCGUAGGCGGCAAUUCAAGUCAUCUGUGAAAUCUCCGGGCUUAACCUGGGAACGGCAUUUGAAACUGGCGAGCUAGAGUUGAGUAGAGGGGAGUGGAAUUUCAGGUGUAGCGGUGAAAUGCGUAGAUAUCAAGAGGAACACCUGAGGUGAAGACGGGUUGCUGGGCUGACACUGACGCUGAGGCGCGAAAGCCAGGGGAGCAAACGGGAUUAGAUACCCCAGUAGUCCCUGAGCGGGCUGGCAAGGCGCAU